rnacentral:rRNA from 1 species
UACGUAGGGGGCUAGCGUUGUCCGGAAUCAUUGGGCGUAAAGCGCGUGUAGGCGGUCCGGUAAGUCCGCUGUGAAAGUCGGGGGCUCAACCCUCGAAUGCCGGUGGAUACUGUCGGGCUAGAGUGCGGAAGAGGCGAGUGGAAUUCCUGGUGUAGCGGUGAAGUGCGCAGAUAUCAGGAGGAACACCAAUUGCGAAGGCAGCUCGCUGGGACGUUACUGACGCUGAGACGCGAAAGCGUGGGGAGCAAACAGG